GAAAUGCGAUAAGUAAUGUGAAUUGCAGAAUUCAGUGAAUCAUCGAAUCUUUGAACGCACAUUGCGCCCGCCAGUAUUCUGGCGGGCAUGCCUGUUCGAGCGUCAUUUCAACCAUCAAGCCCCCGGCUUGUGUUGGGGACCUGCGGCUGCCCGCAGGCCCUGAAAAACAGUGGCGGGCUCGCUGUCACACCGAGCUUAGUAGCAUACAUUCUCGCUCAGGGCGUGCUGCGGGUUCCGGCCGUUAAACGACCUUCAUAACCCAAGGUUGACCUCGGAUCAGGUAGGAAGACCCGCUGAACUUAAGC
rnacentral:misc_RNA from 1 species